UACGUAGGUGGCAAGCGUUGUCCGGAUUUACUGGGCGUAAAGAGCGCGCAGGCGGUCGUUCAAGUCGCGUGUGAAAGCCCCCGGCUCAACUGGGGAGGGUCACGCGAUACUGAUCGACUCGAAGGCAGGAGAGGGAAGUGGAAUUCCCGGUGUAGUGGUGAAAUGCGUAGAUAUCGGGAGGAACACCGGUGGCGAAGGCGGCGCUCUGGACCGAGACUGACGCUGAGGCGC
rnacentral:rRNA from 1 species